rnacentral:lncRNA from 1 species
AGGAAGUUCUCUAUAGCAAAUAAAAUAUUUUAAUAAAUUUAUUUAAAAUCUAAAUAUAAAAAAUUCUAAAUAGUCACUCUCCUUUAUGUUCCAAAUUGGAUAAACUUUAAUAUUGCUAGCAGUGCUAUCUCUAUCAGCUGAGAAAAUUUAUGAUCCAUAAACAAGUAUUCUAAGUACAGUAUUUAGGUACCAGACAAUGACCCACUUCCUAGAAAUCCACUUAAUAUUAUCCUGUUUCUAUUUUUUUAAUCUAUGGAGCACUGACUCAUGAAAGUUUCUCUCUAUAUGCUACAUGCAUAAAGAGACAUAAACUAAUGGCAAGAACACAUUUCUAUUUUAUGAAUUCACAAUUCUCAGGUUUCUUACAAAUGAGAAAUGAGAUUGAUUUACAUUUUUCUUGCAGUUCUUAUUUUGACUGUCAGCAAAAACUGACUUGUGCUAUUACUGCAAAGUUUUUGUCAAAAUGCCAUCAAAAUGUACACAGGCCAUCCACUAUUAAAACAUCUAUUUUUUAAAAUUUUUAUUUAUUUAUGAUAGUGACAGAGAGAGAGAGAGAGAGAGAGAGAGAGAGGCAGAGACACAGGCAGAGGGAGAAGCAGGCUCCAUGCACCGGGAGCCCGAUGUGGGAUUCGAUCCCGGGUCUCCAGGAUCGCGCCCUGGGCCAAAGGCAGGCGCCAAACCGCUGCACCACCCACGGAUCCCAAAACAUCUAUUUUAAAUAUUUACAUAAUAAAGCAUCAAUAACAACAGUUUGUCUGAGACUAUGCAGUGUCUUUUUAGUAAUUCACUACAAUUUGCAUACUGAGUUAUUUCCUGAAUAACUUGUAAUUCAGAUCCACCUGUGUUAGGUUCAAAGAAAUAAUUCCAUAUUUUUGUUAGCACAUUUUGAUGAGUAGAUGAGAUAAUUUUUUUUUGUUCAAGUUGCUACAGACUUUAAUCAUCAUUUUUCUUCUUUCUAUCUUUACUAUUGUCUAUUUUUUCAUUUUCAAAGCACUAACACACUUACACAGUAAUUCUUUUAUGAAUUACUUCAAUUAUUCAAUUAUUUCAUUCAAUUAUUUCAAUUGAAUUUCAUUCAAUUAUUUUUGAAUGCUCCCUAUAUUAGUGGCACAAUCUUAAACAUUAUAAAGGAAUAACAAUUUGAGGAAGUCUUUUUUUUAAGAUUUUAUUUAUCUAUUCUUGAAAGACACAGAGAGGCAGAUACACAGUCUUCCUCCUUCCCUUCCCCGCAGGUAGCCUGAUGCAGGACUGGAGCCCAGGACCCUGGGAUCACAACCUGAGCCAAAGGCAGAUAGAUGCUCAACCACUGAGCCACCCAGGGACUCCGGAAUUGAGGGAAAUCUUAACAUUUUAUAUACACAAUGAGACAUAUGUAAGACUGGUCAAUCAUAAUGCCAUAAACAACCUCUUCCCAGGAAUCUUACCCUUCUUGCCACCUGAACCUCUGACUAAUCUCAAUAAUUUGUCAUUCAUACUACUUGGUUCAUAGACUUGGUCCCAGGCCACCGAUUUCUCAUCACUAUUGGUAAUAUAUUCUCAUCCCUCUGCUUCCUUUUCCCUUUAUCAUAUAGGCUUGAAAAACAGGUGUUUCCUGUUUUUGUUUUUUUUUCUCUUAGGGGUAAGGAUAGGUAAAGAGGAAGAAGCUAAAGCUUAGCUUUUACAAUUUUAAAAGAAGUGAUUUUGAAAGUCUUUGGUCUAACCUCUAUUUUAAAUAUCAUAUUCAUAUAAGUACACACAAGUACAGACUGACAGAGUCAUAACAAACAAUAUAGAAUAAAGUAAAAGGGAAUAACAGAAGAACCCACUGUUCUCUGCCUCAAUAAUAACCACAAAAAUUAUGACAUGGGUACACUUAAACACUUAAAUAACCGCAAUAGCUAUGGGUAGCCUGAAUGAAUCCAAAAGUUGCCACAAAAUAAAGCUAUCAAGUUAUGCAUAUAAAGGCUACAAUAUGAAGAAAAAUAUGAAAAUGUCCUUAUAAAAGGAGAAAAGUUCUACUUAGGAUAAUCAGGUAAUAACCCUAAAGGAGAUACUAGCUGGCCUACCAUUUGAUGAAGAAAUAGCACAGAGAAAACACUUUCUCCAUUCCAACCAGAAGGGAAAACAGGGAGGUGGGCUAAAUUAAAGCUCAAUCUGAUAGUCUAGGAAGGUAGGGCAUUCAUUGAAAAAUAUGUGAGGUCAGAUUUCAAAGAAAUUAAAAGUGAUUUUAAAGGGGUGCCUGGGUGGCUCAGUGGGUUAAAUGCCUGCCUUCAGCUCAGGUCCUGAUCUCCGAAUCCUGAAUCCUGGUUUCCAGCCUGCAUCAGACUCCCUGCUCAGCGGAGUCUUCUUCUCCCUCUUCCUCUGCUCCUCCCCCUGCUCGUGCUCUCCUGUCUCUCAAAUAAACAAAUGAAAUCUUUAAAAAAAAAUUGAUUUUAAAGAUUUUAGUCUUUUCCUGGCAAUGCAUAAAAAAAAAAUCAGAGUUGAGUCGAGAUGUAAGAUUAUCAAAAUAUGUCUUAGGUGUUAAUAUUCUCAAAAUUUCUUCUGCUGAUACCCAAAUAUCACCCUAAAGUUUACAACUUAAUUUUUUGAAAAGAUAACAUGAAUGACUUAACUCACAUUUUGUGUAAAGCUCUGAUAAGCUACUUUGACUUACCUGAAUCUAAUCAGUAGUGGUAAAAGGAAAAUUUUAGUUUAAGGCUGCCCCUCAAAUAGGGGCUGAAGACUUGGCAGUUUCACAUUGGAGGAAUUAUGGGCUAUGGCAGAACGUUAUUCACAUGUUGAAUGAAAGUAGCAAAAUAUAGUGUUAGAUGUUACAUAGUAGUGUGGGAGAGAUUCAUUGUUGACAUAUUCUAGAAAGUUCUAGGGAAGACCUACACAAAGAUUAGGACAAACUAGAAUUUGCUUGAUGCUAGAGAUCAUUUUAUUCUUUGUAUGAAGUUCUGGUUAAAAAAAUGAAGUGGACUCAACACACAAUUGUUUAAAAGAGGUUGAAAAGAUAACCAGACUGAAAUGCUCUAACUUGAAGCUUCUCUCAAUAUUUUGAUGCCCUUUUGAGGGAAUUAGUGAAAAAAAGCACCAUUUAUAAUUAUGCAGAAAGCACAAGAGUUAGACAACUUAGAAUAAGUCAUCAAAGACAAAAUAUUGUCUUACUUCCUCUGCUGUAUUAUUUGUCAAGGUAGUACAAGAGGGUACAAGUGAUUUACCAUAAUCUGCAUUUUCUCUCCAUUUUUUUUUUUUUACUCCCUAGUUAACUAUAUCAAUUUCUAGCCAAUGGAUUGUGAUUUUGAGGCCUAGACAUAUCUGGUCCCUUCUACUCCCAAACUUGCUUUUCCAGGCUUUUCUGUCUUUUGCUGUCUUUCCAAGAUCCUCUGACUUCACUUUAUCAAAUAUGAAAAAUGCAAAAAAAGAAAAAUAAUAUUAAAUUUGCAGGUUUAAGACCUGUAAACAAUGAGGAUAGUAAAUUACCUGUUCAAUAGGUAUAUGACAAGCAAUUGUGAACAUCUAUGGAGAAAGCACAGAGAACCAGAAAAGCUAUGUUGCCUACUCAUGUUAGGUAUAAUGGCAUACCAAUAUUACCUUCAUAACAUUUUUACAUAAAUAGAUUUCUCAAUUAUAGGGGUCUAAACCAAGAAAACAAGAAAUUGUGUUUUAUUUUCACAUUAAAUAGUUUGAUUUUAAAUGUUAGUAAUAAUUUCAGUUGUCAUUUCAGUUGUACAAGAAAUCAUUAACUUAAUAAAGAAUUUUAAUAGAAAAACAUAUUCCUUUUAACUCAGCAGUCUCCCAAUAAACCUAAUUCACUAAAAAUUAGAGGCUGUAAUUUAUAAGAGCACUUAUCAAGAUGAAUCACUUCUAGAUGUAAUUACCCUCAUUUAUUGAAAGUUAUGGAAAAAAUGUGAAGGCAUUUUUUUUUUUUUGACUGAAAGAAGUCUGUUGGGGAGAAUUAGAUCCUCAA